rnacentral:rRNA from 1 species
CUACGGGGCGCAGCAGUGGGGAAUAUUGGACAAUGGGGGAAACCCUGACCCAGCAAUGCCGCGUGUGUGAAGAAGGCCUGCGGGUUGUAAAGCACUUUCGGUUGGGAGGACUGCUUCUAGCACUAAUAUUGUUGGAAGUUGACGUUACCUUCAGAAGAAGCACCGGCUAACUCCGUGCCAGCAGCCGCGGUAAUACGGAGGGUGCAAGCGUUAAUCGGAAUUACUGGGCGUAAAGCGCGCGUAGGCGGCUAGAUCAGUCGGGUGUGAAAGCCCCGGGCUUAACCUGGGAACUGCAUCCGAUACUGUCUAGCUUGAGUACAGGAGAGGAGAGUGGAAUUCCACAUGUAGCGGUGAAAUGCGUAGAUAUGUGGAGGAACACCAAUGGCGAAGGCAGCUCUCUGGCCUGAUACUGACGCUGAGCUGCGAAAGCGUGGGGAGCAAACAGGAUUAGAUACCCGUGUAGUC